rnacentral:rRNA from 1 species
UAAGCGUGUAGGCUGGUUUUCCAGGCAAAUCCGGAAAAUCAAGGCUGAGGCGUGAUGACGAGGCACUACGGUGCUGAAGCAACAAAUGCCCUGCUUCCAGGAAAAGCCUCUAAGCAUCAGGUAACAUCAAAUCGAACCCCAAACCGACACAGGUGGUCAGGUAGAGAAUACCAAGGCGCUUGAGAGAACUCGGGUGAAGGAACUAGGCAAAAUGGUGCCGUAACUUCGGGAGAAGGCACGCUGAUAUGUAGGUGAAGUCCCUCGCGGAUGGAGCUGAAAUCAGUCGAAGAUACCAGCUGGCUGCAACUGUUUAUUAAAAACACAGCACUGUGCAAACACGAAAGUGGACGUAUACGGUGUGACGCCUGCCCGGUGCCGGAAGGUUAAUUGAUGGGGUCAGCGCAAGCGAAGCUCUUGAUCGAAGCCCCGGUAAACGGCGGCCGUAACAAUAACGGUCCUAAGGUAGCGAAAUUCCUUGUCGGGUAAGUUCCGACCUGCACGAAUGGCGUAAUGAUGGCCAGGCUGUCUCCACCCGAGACUCAGUGAAAUUGAACUCGCUGUGAAGAUGCAGUGUACCCGCGGCAAGACGGAAAGACCCCGUGAACCUUUACUAUAGCUUGACACUGAACAUUGAGCCUUGAUGUGUAGGAUAGGUGGGAGGCUUUGAAGUGUGGACGCCAGUCUGCAUGGAGCCGACCUUGAAAUACCACCCUUUAAUGUUUGAUGUUCUAACGUUGACCCGUAAUCCGGGUUGCGGACAGUGUCUGGUGGGUAGUUUGACUGGGGCGGUCUCCUCCUAAAGAGUAACGGAGGAGCACGAAGGUUGGCUAAUCCUGGUCGGACAUCAGGAGGUUAGUGCAAUGGCAUAAGCCAGCUUGACUGCGAGCGUGACGGCGCGAGCAGGUGCGAAAGCAGGUCAUAGUGAUCCGGUGGUUUUGAAUGGAAGGGCCAUCGCUCAACGGAUAAAAGGUACUCCGGGGAUAACAGGCUGAUACCGCCCAAGAGUUCAUAUCGACGGCGGUGUUUGGCACCUCGAUGUCGGCUCAUCACAUCCUGGGGCUGAAGUAGGUCCCAAGGGUAUGGCUGUUCGCCAUUUAAAGUGGUACGCGAGCUGGGUUUAGAACGUCGUGAGACAGUUCGGUCCCUAUCUGCCGUGGGCGCUGGAGAAUUGAGGGGGGCUGCUCCUAGUACGAGAGGACCGGAGUGGACGCGUCACUGGUGUUCGGGUUGUCAUGCCAAUGGCACUGCCCGGUAGCUAAAUGCGGAAGAGAUAAGUGCUGAAAGCAUCUAAGCACGAAACUUGCCCCGAGAUGAGUUCUCCCUGACUCCUUGAGAGUCCUGAAGGAACGUUGAAGACGACGACGUUGAUAGGCCGGGUGUGUAAGCGCAGCGAUGCGUUGAGCUAACCGGUACUAAUGAACCGUGAGGCUUAACC